rnacentral:rRNA from 1 species
UACGUAGGGGGCAAGCGUUGUCCGGAGUUACUGGGCGUAAAGCGCACGCAGGCGGUCUCUUAAGUUUGGAGUGACAGUUGGUGGCUUAACUGCCAAAGUGCUUCGAAAACUGAGAGACUUGAGGGCUUCAGAGGGACACGGAAUUCCACGUGUAGCGGUGAAAUGCGUAGAGAUGUGGAGGAACACCAGUGGCGAAGGCGACUCUUUGGCCUGUAACUGACGCUGAGGCGCGAAAGCGUGGGGAGCAAACAGG